GCAGUGGUAGUUCAGUGGUUAAGACAUGGUAUUACUGAUGGGAAGGUCGUCAGUUCAAAUCCCUGGACUGCUGAG